UCGAGCAGACGAGACCCCAGAUCGACAUCAGGCUUAGGCCUAAUUUGUGAGUGGACGUUUAUUUUAAAUAAAUGCAUGCUAUAGUUCAUGGUUGAACAAUUAAUGUUGCGGAAUAUUUUAACGUCAUUUUAAUUUGACGAUUUUUAUUCUCUUGGAGAGUUACCGAAAAUGGGAUUUUCGGUGGAUAUAAAUAUGUAUUUAUGAGAGAGUAUGUAUAUAAAUGCUAGCUAGCCAUAUGUGUCUGUCCACCUUAAUGGCGUAGCAUAUAGCCGCAUUAUGGUGUGACGUGAGCGUUGGACGUAAGCGUAGUAGCCCUAUUUGAGUGUUUAAUUCAUAUAGGGGGUAUGGACACAUAUUUAUACACCCGUCUGUCCACCUUGAUGGCGUAGUGUAGCACCGCAUUAAGGCGUGACGCGAGCGUUGGACGCGAGCGUAGUAGCCCUAUAUAGACCCAUGAAUUUAUAUAGGGAGUAUGGACGAGUGUAAAUACAUACAUAUAUUAUAGAGUCUGAGAGGCUCGAUAUUUUAUGAGAUAAAAGUUUUAUCGCUUGCGGCAUGCAUUUGAUUUUUCCUUAGAAUUUAAUUUGGGGAAACAUAAUUAUUUUAUUUAUUAUUUUAUUUUUGUCCACUCACUCUAACGUUAUUAAAUGUUUUCCUCUGGGCCCUUCGUUUUAAAUUGCCCAGUCUGCAGAGUUCGGGUUGGAUCUAGUAGGAGACGAGGCAUAGUCACCCGCAUUUCUGCCAGUUUUCGCCAGUAGGUUACCUGUUCAACCUACUCGUGUUUUCUUGCUUCCGCUUGUGUUUAGUAGCUCUGAAUACUUUAGAAUUUUUGUAUUUUAUGUGAUGUUCAGAAGUGUUAAAUUAAGAGUGUAAUAUGAAAUUUUCGAGUUAGGGUUGUCCAUCUGCAAGGGAGAUUUUCUUAAUCUUUUCAGUAAAUUUUCCUUGGAAGUGGUCCCCGCACGACUUACUCUGGGUUUCAGGGUGAAAUUCGGGGUGGGUCGUGUCAUACAUAAACAAUAGCAAAGAUAUAUUAAUUACGUAGUCG
rnacentral:lncRNA from 1 species